GCCCUGGUGGUGCAGUGGUCUAACAUGAGGCCCUGUCGCGGCCUCGACCCGAGUUCGAAUCUCGGCCAGGGCG
rnacentral:tRNA from 1 species